rnacentral:rRNA from 1 species
CCUACGGGGGGCAGCAGUGAGGAAUAUUGGUCAAUGGGCGCGAGCCUGAACCAGCCAAGUAGCGUGAAGGAUGACUGCCCUACGGGUUGUAAACUUCUUUUAUAAAGGAAUAAAGUGAGGCACGUGUGCCUUUUUGUAUGUACUUUAUGAAUAAGGAUCGGCUAACUCCGUGCCAGCAGCCGCGGUAAUACGGAGGAUCCGGGCGUUAUGCGGAUUUAUUGGGGGUAAAGGGAGCGUAGAUGGGUUGUUAAGUCCGUUGUGAAAGGGUGCGGCUCAACCGUGAAAUUGCAGUUGAUACUGGCAGCCUUGAGUACAGGUGAGGUAGGCGGAAUUCGUGGUGUAGCGGUGAAAUGCGUAGAUAUCACGAAGAACUCCGAUUGCGAAGGCAGCUUACUAAACUGCCACUGACAUUGAUGCUCGAAAGUGUGGGUAUCAAACAGGAUUAGAUACCCGGGUAGUC